rnacentral:rRNA from 1 species
AAUGAACGCUGGCGGCAGGCCUAACACAUGCAAGUCGAACGGGUCCUUCGGGACUAGUGGCGGACGGGUGAGUAACGCGUGGGAACGUGCCCUUUGCUACGGAAUAGCCUCUGGAAACGGAGAGUAAUACCGUAUGUGCCCUUCGGGGGAAAGAUUUAUCGGCAAAGGAUCGGCCCGCGUUGGAUUAGGUAGUUGGUGGGGUAAUGGCCUACCAAGCCGACGAUCCAUAGCUGGUUUGAGAGGAUGAUCAGCCACACUGGGACUGAGACACGGCCCAGACUCCUACGGGAGGCAGCAGUGGGGAAUCUUAGACAAUGGGGGAAACCCUGAUCUAGCCAUGCCGCGUGAUCGAUGAAGGCCUUAGGGUUGUAAAGAUCUUUCAGGUGGGAAGAUAAUGACGGUACCACCAGAAGAAGCCCCGGCUAACUCCGUGCCAGCAGCCGCCGUAAGAC